rnacentral:rRNA from 1 species
UACGGGGGGGGCAAGCGUUGUUCGGAAUUACUGGGCGUAAAGGGCUCGUAGGCGGCCAACUAAGUCGGAUGUGAAAUCCCCAGGCUUAACCUGGGAACUGCAUCCGAUACUGGAUGGCUUGAAUCCGGGAGAGGGAUGCAGAAUUCCAGGUGUAGCGGUGAAAUGCGUAGAUAUCUGGAGGAAUACCGGUGGCGAAGGCGGCAUCCUGGACCGGCAUUGACGCUGAUGAGCGAAAGCUAGGGGAACAAACGGG